UAUCUACAUUGAGAACAUUUGAUGCAGGCUUACUAUUUCAUCAGUUUUUGAGAUUCCUCCAAUCAACUCAGCCU
rnacentral:lncRNA from 1 species